GUCUUGUUCUUCAGCUUUAUUCCUAUCAGGAUGGUCUUCAGGGGUCACAAAAAUGAGCUCUCAAGCGUGUGUCUGCAGCCUCUUUAGGAGAGGCUUCAUCUGGUAUAGCUGUGUGUCAAGUGUAAUGGGCUGAGGGUCAGAGGGAGGUACAAAGAGGUGGAAGAAUCUCUGUCCAUUAGAAAACACCUCCAGGAGCCGUAACUCCUAUGCCUGAGGGCCAGUCUUCAACCACUUUUAUGUCAACAGCUGGUGCCAAGAGGUGAGUGGCUCUAUUCAGACCACUGCAGGGCCCUGGGGAGAGUCCAGGGAGGCACUCUCCC
rnacentral:lncRNA from 1 species